GGAUCAGGUAGGGAUACCCGCUGAACUUAAGCAUAUCAAUAGCCGGGAGGA
rnacentral:rRNA from 1 species